AGCGAAAGCGGAGGAGCCCAAAUGGGGAGGAAUUGCGCGAUUCGGAGGGGAACGGCCUGGGAGGGCCGGCCACAGAGGGCGACAGCCCCGUACCCCGAGAAGGACGCAUGUCUCCCCGAGAGAGUACGCCGGGUCACGAGAAACCCCGGCGGAAGACGGCGGGACCACCCGCCAAGGCUAAACACAGACCAGUGACCGAUAGCGAACAAGUACCGUGAGGGAAAGGUGAAAAGAACCCCGGGAGGGGGAUGAAAAGAUCCUGAAACCGCAUGCCGGCGACCGGACCGAGGGCGUCGAAGCCUGAGGUCGUGCCUAUUGAAGAAUGAGCCUGCGAGUUGUCGAUGCCAGCGAGGCUAAGCGGAAGACGCGGAGCCGCAGGGAAACCGAGCCCGAACAGGGCGCGAGUUGGCACCGGCAGACCCGAAACCCGGCGAUCUAGCCAUGGCCAGGAUGAAAGAGGGGCGAAACCCUCCGGAGGUCCGAACCGACGUUCGUUGAAAAGACCGCGGAUGAGCCGUGGCUCGUGGUGAAAUUCCAAUCGAGCCGGGUUAUAGCUGGUUCUCCCCGAAAUAGCUCUUGGGCUAGCCUCGGGGCUGUGCGCCGACGGAGGUAGAGCCACCGAUGGGGCGAGGGGCGCGUCGAACGCCUUCGAGCCCCGCCGAACUCCGAAUGCCGCCGGCGAAGCCCCGGGAGUCGGUCUGCGGGAGAUAAGUUCCGUGGACGAGAGGGAAAGAGCCCGGACCGCCGAUUAAGGCCCCAAAGUGCGCGCCGAGUGCUGAGAAGGAGGUGGGGCGGCUCAAACAGCCAGGAUGUUGGCUCAGAGGCAGCCAUCAUUCAAAGAAUGCGUAACAGCUCACUGGUCAAGCCGCCCCGCGCCGACAAUUUACCGGGGCUAAAGCGCGCCGCCGAAAUCGCGGGAUCCGUAGGAUCGGUAGGGGAGCGUCGCCUGUGCGGCGAAGCGGGACCGCGAGGGCCCGUGGAGCGCAGGCGAGCGAGAAUGCAGGCGUUAGUAGCGACGGGGGGUGGGAAUCCCCCCAGCCGGAUGGCCGAGGUCUCCCGGGCGAGGUUCGUCCUCCCGGGGUCAGCCGGGGCCUAAGACGAGGCCGAGAGGCGCAGUCGAUGGGAAUGCGGCGAAGAUUCCGCAGCCCGUCCGCGUGGCGAUGACCGUGACGGGGGUGGCAAGGCAGCCCGGGCGAUCGGAAGAGCCCGGCGGCCGGCGCGCAGGGGCGGGGGAGCCAAAGCUCUUCCCCGGAUGCCCCAGGGCCGGACGGGAGGAAAGCGGGAGACCGCGAGUACGAAGGCGCCGGGGACACCCUCCAGGAAAAGCGGCUAGCGUCAGAGCGCGGGCGGCCCGUACCAAGAACGGACACACGUGGCCUGGGCGAGAAGCCCGAGGCUAGCGAGACAACUGUUGCUAAGGAACUCUGCAAGACUGCUUCGCAAGCUAGCGAGAAGAAGCGCCCGGGGGCGAACAGCCCCGCGGGCCGCAGCGAAGAGGCAGGGGUGACUGUUUACCAAAAACACAGCUCUGUGCGAAGCCGCAAGGCGACGUAUACGGGGUGAUGCCUGCCCGGUGCUGGAAGGUUAAGGGGAGGGGUCAGGCCGCAAGGCCGAAGCCCCGAGCCGAAGCCCCAGUGAACGGCGGCCGUAACUAUAACGGUCCUAAGGUAGCGAAAUUCCUUGUCGGGCAAGUUCCGACGCGCAUGAAUGGUAUAACAAUCCCUGCACUGUCUCGGCAGCAGACUCGGCGAAAUCGUAAUACCGGUGAAGAUGCCGGUUACCCGCGACUAGACGGGAAGACCCCAUAGAGCUUCACUGCAGGUCGGCGCUGGGCUGGCCAGCGGCUCGCACAGGAUAGGAGGAAGGCUUCGAUCCGGGACCCCUGGGCCCCGGGGAGCCGUCGUUGGGAUACCUCCCCUGCCGCUAGCCAUCCCUAACCGGGACCCUGGACGGGCCCCGGGACAGCGCCCGCCGGACAGUUUGACUGGGGCGGUCGCCUCCCAAAGAGUAACGGAGGCGUUCGAAGGUGCCCUCGGCACGGUAGGAAACCGUGCCAUCGAGUGCAAACGCAUAAGGGCGCCUGACUGCAAGGCCGGCAGGCCGAGCAGACGCGAAAGCGGGAGUUAGUGACCCGGCGGUUCCAGCGUGGAAUGGCCGUCGCUUAACGGACAAAAGCUACCUUGGGGAUAACAGGCUGAUCCGGUCCAAGAGUUCACUUCGACGACCGGGUUUGGCACCUCGAUGUCGGCUCAUCGCAUCCUGGAGGGGCAACACCUUCCAAGGGUUUGGCUG
rnacentral:rRNA from 1 species